UACGGAAGGCAGCAGUGGGGAAGUAUUGCACAAUGGGCGCAAGCCUGAUGCAGCCAUGCCGCGUGUAUGAAGAAGGCCUUCGGGUUGUAAAGUACUUUCAGUCGUGAGGAAGGUGUUAAGGUUAAUAACCUUAGCAAUUGACGUUAGCGACAGAAGAAGCACCGGCUAACUCCGUGCCAGCAGCCGCGGUAAUACGGAGGGUGCGAGCGUUAAUCGGAAUUACUGGGCGUAAAGGGCACGCAGGCGGUUAAUUAAGUUGGAUGUGAAAUCCCCGGGCUUAACCUGGGAAUGGCAUUCAAGACUGGUUAGCUAGAGUCUUGUAGAGGGGGUAGAAUUCCAUGUGUAGCGGUGAAAUGCGUAGAGAUGUGGAGGAAUACCGGUGGCGAAAGGCGGCCCCCUGGACAAAGACUGACGCUCAUGUGCGAAAGCGU
rnacentral:rRNA from 1 species